rnacentral:ncRNA from 1 species
AUGAUCCCCGCGGAAGAGACCGGGCUUUGCCCGGCGCCGAAGGCGCAACCGCCCCGGAAACGCUCAGGCCAAAGGACCGCGUGGGAGCU